rnacentral:rRNA from 1 species
UACGGAGGGGGCAAGCGUUGUUCGGAAUUACUGGGCGUAAAGGGCGCGCAGGCGGCUGCUCAAGUCAGGCGUGAAAGGCCUGGGCUCAACCCGGGAAUUGCGCUUGAGACUGGGCUGGCUUGAGUGCGGGAGAGGAUGGUGGAAUUCCCAGUGUAGAGGUGAAAUUCGUAGAUAUUGGGAAGAACACCGGUGGCGAAGGCGGGUCUCUGGGCAGUAACUGACGCUGAGGAGCGAAAGCGUGGGGAGCGAACAGG